UUGGAGGGCAAGUCUGGUGCCAGCAGCCGCGGUAAUUCCAGCUCCAAUAGCGUAUAUUAAAGUUGUUGCAGUUAAAAAGCUCGUAGUUGAAUUUCGGGGUUCUACCGUUGGUCGGGCUUUGUCUGUACUGGUGUGUAGAAUUUCUACCUUCUGGGGAACCAUCAUGCUAUUAAUUUAGCGUGGUGGGAAACCAGGACCUUUACCUUGAAAAAAUUAGUGUGUUCAAAGCAGGCUUAUGUCUGAAUACAUUAGCGUGGAAUAAUAGAAUAGGACGGUGGUCCUGUUUUGUUGGUUUCUGAAUCACCGUAAUGAUUAAUAGGGAUAGUUGGGGGCAUUAGUAUUCAAUUGUCAGAGGUGAAAUUCUUGGAUUUAUUGAAGACUAACUUCUGCGAAAGCAUUUGCCAAGGAUGUUUUCAUUAAUCAAGAACGAAGGUUAGGGGAUCGAAGACGAUCAGAUACCGUCGUAGUCUUAACCAUAAACUAUGCCGACUAGGGAUCGGACGAUGUUAAUUUUUCUUGACUCGUUCGGCGCCUUACGGGAAAC
rnacentral:rRNA from 1 species